CCUACGGGAGGCAGCAGUGGGGAAUAUUGCACAAUGGGGGAAACCCUGAUGCAGCGACGCCGCGUGAGUGAAGAAGUAAUUCGUUACGUAAAGCUCUAUCAGCAGGGAAGAAACACUGACCUUACGGUCAGCAGACGGUACCUGAGUAAGAAGCCCCGGCUAACUACGUGCCAGCAGCCGCGGUAAUACGUAGGGGGCAAGCGUUAUCCGGAUUUACUGGGUGUAAAGGGAGCGUAGACGGUGCGCCAAGUCUGGAGGGAAAUGCCGCAGCUUAACUGGGGAACUGCUUUGGAAACUGGCGAACGAGAGUGCGGGAGGGGUAAGCGGAAUUACGAGUGGAGCGGGGAGAUGCGUAGAUAUUAGGAGGAACACCGGUGGCGAAGGCGGCUUACUGGACCGUAACUGACGUUGAGGCUCGAAAGCGUGGGGAGCAAACAGGAUUAGAUACCCGAGUAGUC
rnacentral:rRNA from 1 species